GUCUGGAUUUCGGGCAUUGCGGACAUCGGCAAAAUAAUAAGGAACAUCGACCGGGGAACGGGGGGGACUGUUACCGUACGCGUCGGCCCGGCCGGAUUAUCGAUGGGAGCAGAAGGAAAAAAAAAAAAACGUAGUUUUCUUUGCCCGCCUAUAGAGAAAAAAUAAAUAAAUACGCACCGUGACGUAUUUCCCGUACGCACCUGUCCGAAGUUUGAACAAGUGUCGCGCGAAAACGUUUUUUUACACACACAGCGGUUGCACGCGAUACUAAUGUGUGCGUAUGAAUACUCAAUAAGCGUUGUCGCCGUCGCGGAUGGGGGAGGGCGCGCGCACGAACGUUUUGAUGUUCGCCCGUUACGAUUCGCAGCACGCGUCUAAAAACGAAUAAAACGUGUUGCGUGCCGUAGCGGCGGCACGGAAUAGCAGCGAUUUUUCUGAAGCAGCGAUCGUCGCAGACCGCCAUUAUGAUUUUAGUGCUAUCGCACUGCUAUUUGCCACUCACUCCGGUGUGAAAACAAGUGCCCGCAGUACCUAUCAUUACACUCUGAUUCGUGGUCGUGUAAUAUGCAUACAAAAAGUGCAACGUCGAGGCGAGUUGCGACUUGCAGUUACAGCGACAAUUGCUGCGGUACAGUUGUUAAAUAAUUGUGCAUUGUUAUCGUAAUGCGUCCGAAUGGCAGCUGCAGACAUUUUUCAUUGUUACAGUUACUGCUAUUGAAAAAAUAUCACAGUCAGUCGCAAUCCAGGAUAUGUUCCGAAGACUCGUGGCUCAAUGUACGUUAUCACACAUUCAGACGGUAAAUUCACAGAUUUACGGAAUUAUUCUUUAUAUCUAUCUGUGGGUAAAAUAAAAUUACUGCCCGAUUUGCAGAUUGGUUAAGAAAAAUUACACCGCGUUCCGGAAAUUGCAACAGUGUUCGUGAUUUAGAGCAACUUCUCGAAGCCCCACAACUUCCAUCUAGAACAGGCGUUGACAUUUCAUCAGUCAAGUUUGACAACCUCGAAAAACGGUCGCUGUUGGACAUAGACACGUGGUUCAAGGAUUUGUAUUCGAUACGACCAGCGUCGAAUACUGAGCGGCUAACAUGGAGCUCGCACUCUACUAGAACUGCGAUUAGAUAGAUAAUUUCUAUAGUUAACGUGCCGUCAUAUUUUCGAAACGAUUCACCGAGCUGUAAUGAACGAAGCAUAUUGCUUCAAACGUCAUAAUAUAAUAUUAGCCGGAUAAUGAAAUUUUUAAAAGAUUUAAAAAUUCGUGGAAUGAAGUUUAUAUAGGUACAGCAAACAUUUAUUAUCAUUGAUCAAAAUUUAAAAAAAAAAAACCUGUAUUGCCAAUGCGCGAAAUCAUUUUAUCAUUUUGUUUAAUAUAAAUUGCGGAAGAUCAGCCUAGAAAAGAUUACAAAGAAUUCAUCGAAAUUAUUAAGUGUACCUAAUAAGUAAUAAUACUUGAGAGGAUUAAAAUUCGCACGUCUGGAACUUUUGUUUGAAAAUAGUUUUACUUCGAUCGGAAUUUAAAUUAAAUAAAAAGAAUGAAAAUGCUUUGAAUCGAAUUUGUGCAUUUAUUAUUAAAAUUUACAUAAAAUCGUGGUAGGUAAUGCUCCAUGCACCGGUAAUGUACGUUUAAAAAGAUGGGUGUAAAAUUGAUAUGGAAGAAUCCAAUGAAAAAUGCACGAGGAAUGAGAACCAGAAACAGUUUUUAUUACAAGCAAUGAGAUAUUACCUGUCUCAGUCAAAAACGUCUGAAGUCCUCAAAGGUGCCUCCAGACAAAAAGGCCCGCACGCGCCUCAAUAUGGACGGCUAACCGCACGAGACCGCAUGGCAUUAGACGAUCGCUUGGUGGGACCGCACGCAUGGUAGAAAAUGCACCCAAGCUUUGAUACGUUUAUUUAUAUAAAAAAUUGCAAAUGGAAUGCGUAAUUAUCGCGUGAAGGCGAUCGUGGAGGUAUUACUUCUAUUUGGGAUCUGUGAUGUGCCUAUAAUUUCAGCGCCCCAGAGAUUAGUGGUCUAGUUGCGCCUAUGAGUGUAAAAAUAAAAUGGUUAAUCCUGAUAUUUUUGGUGAUUCAAUUUUUUCUAGGAAAUUAAAUUGCAUG